AGCAGACCUCGGCUGGUUUUUCCUUUGAACUGGAGGUGAUGGCCAGGGUGCUGCUGCAACUGCUCCCGUCCUGGCAGUCCCAAGGAGCAGGAGGGUUGAGUGUGACAGCGUGGACCAGCCUCUGGUUUCUGGCCCUAUCUGGAAGUGCCCAAUUUGCUGCUCUCAUCCUAGAAACAGAACCUUCUUCUUGGUUUCUGUGCUCAUGAACUAUCCAGUUAAAAGCAGUAGGUGUUGCUCCUUACGGCAUUAAAACCUCGAGUGGAUUCUGGCAGCUAAGCUUCAUAUUUUGCAAAGGGGAAGAGGAACUACUUUGUGUGUUUGGAAAUGUAUGGCCGAUGAAUACAACUUUUGAGGGAGUGGCUCAUCCCUGGUCUUGCUGCUCAGAUCGUCUCCAAG